rnacentral:rRNA from 1 species
GAUGAACGCUGGCGGCGUGCCUAAUACAUGCAAGUCGAGCGAACGGACGAGAAGUUUGCUUCUCUGAUGUUAGCGGCGGACGGGUGUGUAACAUGUGGAUAACCUACCUAUAAGACUGGGAUAAACUCGGGAAACUGGCGCUAAUACCGGAUAAUAUUUUGAACCGCAUGGUUCAAAAGUGAAAGACGGUCUUGCUGUCACUUAUAGAUGGAUCCGCGCUGCAUUAGCUAGUUGGUAAGGUAACGGCCUACCAAGGCAACGAUGCAUAGCCGACCUGAGAGGGUGAUCGCCCACAUGAGAGCGGAGACACGGUCCAGACGCCUACGGCAGGCAGCAGUAGGGAAUCUUCCGCAAUGGGCGAAAGCCUGACGGAACAACGCCGCGUGAGUGAUGAAGAUCUUCGGUUCGUAAAACUCGGUUAUGAGGGAAAAACAUAUGUGUGAGGAAAUGAAGACAUCCUGACGGUACCUAAACAGAAAGCCACGGCUAACUACGUG